UAAUUGCAUAUUUGUCAAAAUUGGUAAGGACAUCCAAGGAAAAUGUACCAGAGUGAAAAAUACAGAGGGCUGAAGAUUUGAGGGAUAUUAAGAUUUAAGGGAUAGAUAGAGGAAACUGGGUCUGCAAAGGAGACAGAGAAGGAUACUAGGGGUAAGAGAAACACCAAGAAGCUGUUCACCGCCUCCUGAGACAAUCUGAUCAUGUCCAGCACAGACCACAGAGCCUAGGGGUACCAUCGAGGUACACUAGGUGGGUUCCUUAUGGAUGUACUUUGCAUGUUAUAUGACCCUGUCACUCUGGCCACAAAUGACCAAAUCAGGGAUCCAACUCCAAGGCCCCAUAGAGGCUCUCUAUAUUGGUCAACAAGCGCUCCACCUAGUGACCUCCUCUCUCUCUGGGUGCCACACACACACCCACCCACACCCACACACACACCCCACACACAGUAGUACAGAGAAUAGAUGGACACAGAAAUAUGAGAAGGCACUCAACAGUAAGGUGAAUAAGGAAAAGCCAAGAGGCAGAGAAAAGAGCCCAAAAAGUGGGUAGUGGGAUAGCUUCAGGAGAAAAAAGUAUGGUGCGAGCCCCUAUGGAAACUAUACAUAGCGUGUGUAUGAACUUCUAAUUCCCCAAAGCCUGUCUGUUUCACAGCCCACAGGGUUUCCAGUUUCAUUCUUUUCUCUCCUUUCCUUAUCACAGGGGGAUAUUGGUGGCUCAGUGGUAGAACUCUCACCUUCCAUUCGGGAGACUGGGGUUCAAUUCCCAGACAAUGCAACUCAUGCCCAGUCACAACCCAUCUGUCAAUGGUGGUUUGAGUGGAGUCCCUGGGCAGCAAAAACAGUUAAGUGUUCUACUACUAGCCAAAAGGUUGGCAGUUUGAAUCCACCCAGUGGUGCCUCGGGAGACAGGCCUGGUGAUCUGUUCCCAAAAGGUCACAUGCUUGAAAACCCUACGAAGCACAGUUCUAUUCUGCGCACAUGGGGUCACUACGAUUCUGACUGGAUGGCAACUAACAACAACAACAAUAAUGCUGAACAGGUUUAAGCGGAACUUCCAGACUAAGAUGGACUAGAGAGAAAGGCCUGGCAAUCUACUUCCAAAAAUCAGCCAGUGAAAACAGGGUAGAUCACAACAGUCUGGUCUCCGCAACCAAUCAUGGGGAUGGUGCAGGACCUGGCAGUUUUUCUACUGUGUAUGGGGUCGCCAUGAGUCAGAGGCAAACUGGAGGGCAGCUCACAACAACCACCUUAGCACAGACACCCACCAGAGGGCAGUAACCCAGGAGUGACCCUUAAGGCUAUAAUCCUCAGAGGUGGAGGGCUGGUGGCCUGUGGCAAACAGUCUGAGUCACACUUGCCUGUCACGUCCCCUAUCACGUCUUUUUCCUUUCCCCAAAGUGUUGAAGACAUGAUAGGCUCUUCUGAUUGGUUCCUCCAAAGGGCUAGUGUCUCAGUACUGCUGACCCUCUGGAGUCAGAAGCACAUAAAUAGUUCCUGCAGGGAAAUGGGCCUCAGUCAAGAGAAGCAAACACCUCUGCCUCCCGGGUGCCUGAAGAAACUGGGUGUCCCCAGUGCUGCCCGCUGUGCCUUUUGGGACCUCCCCAUGCACCUCUGCCUCGGUCACAACCCAUUCCUCCAGCAGCACCUGCAGUCUUGCCAAGUGGUGCUGCAGCCCAGGCCAUCGUCCAUCCGCUCCUGCCUGGCACGACCUCCUCAACCCCUGAGACCCAAGAAGCAAGUGGUGUUCGCAGACACGAAGGGGCUCUCCUUGACAUCCGUGCACAGGUUUCAAAAUGCUACAGCAGAGACUGGAGAGGCCCCGUGUCCCACGUCCAGCUUCCCGGGCUCAGCACCAUUCUGCCGUGCAGAGCCGACCACCUCGCUCUGGGCUUUCCCCCACCGUGGCAGGACUACGCAGGUUUCCUGAGGCACCUGUGGACACAGCAUGUGCCUGGAGCGGUGCGCUGUGCAGAGGGGCUUCCUGCGAGGCACCCUGCAGGCGUGCAAGCUGCUUCUCCAGAAGGCAGUGUGGAUGCACAUCACCUUUGAUGCCUGGGGCUCCUUCCAAGUAGUGCCCUGCAUUGACGUUUAUACACCUGGUCCUUGCAGACGUGAGACCUACCGCUUUUGCGUUCCAGAUCGAGCUGCCUCUAGGUCCCCCAGGGCCCCACAAACAGUAUCCAGUUCUUUUCUCUUUAGAGUGUGCUCCGCAGCUUUUUUGAGACAAUAAUCAAGGGCAAAACUAUGGCUUGGUGCCUGGUUCCCAGCCUGGCUAAUCGGAACAAAGCUGAGUUCUGUGAGCGCCAGCAAAUAGGGUUAAGCCCUCUGUGGUUACUUUUGUCUUCGUAGUUAAAGCUUGAAUUUCUUGUCCAGGAUUUGCUCAUUUCUUAGCUGUCCUGGAGUUAAAACACACACACACACACACAAACCAGUUGUGCAUUCCAUGGAGGGGAUUCCAAUUUAUGGCGACCUCAUGUGUGUCAGAGCAGAACUGUGCUCUACAGAGUUCAACUGCUGAUUUUUUUGGAAGCAGAUGGCCAGGCCUUUCUUCCCGGGCACCUCUGGGUGGACUUGAACUUCCUGCCUUUCAGUUAGCAGCCGAACACAUUAACCAUUUCCAUCCAAUGAUUCCUCUGGAAUUUCACUUACUUUUUUUUUUUUUUUUGCUCCCGGGUUCACAGCGGGGAAACAGGAUUGCCUCAACUCCUGACCUCAGCAGAAGGUCUCAAAUGCCUUGCAUUCUUCUCUCACAUGGGCAGGGCCACUUACUAAAGUUUCUUAGGAACAUACUGGGAAUGGUGCCCUUUAUCAUUUGCAAGGAAGCCUUUGGAGUGGGGAAAUAGACCAAAUGUAAAUAAAGCUUUUAAUAUGUAACGAUUUAAAAGACCUAGCCAAUGAGUGUGUAAGGCCAGCGUGUGUGUGUGUGUGUGUGUGUGUGUGUGUUAAACACACUGUGGGGCAGUUCUUUACAUUGAACAUAGGCAGGAUACAGGACAGCUGUUUGCCCUCUUUCUUUUCUCUCCAUCUGGGAAGGGCUAGUUUUCUGGUAACUUGAAAUAUUCUUCUUGCUUUUUCAACUUUUGCCAAAAGAAAUAUUCACUAAAGUAUCUUCACCUGUUUAUGUUGUAAACACUUGGCCUUUCCACCUUUUUAUCACAUAAUGUCUAGGGAGCCUCUGUUCCUCUCCACCUCUAAAUUAUUACUAUUUUUUUUCUUGUGCUUUAAGUGAAAGUUUACUAAUCAAGUCAGUCUCUCAUACAAAAAUUUACACACACCUUGUUAUAUACUCCGCAUUGCUCUCCCCCUAAUGAGACAGCACACUCCUUUCUACUCUUUAUUUUCGCCUCCAUUCAGCCAGAUUCUGACCCCCUCUGCCCUCUCAUCUCCCCUCCAGACAGGAGCUGCCCACAUAGUCUCAUGUGUCUGCUUGAUCCAAGCAGCUCGCUCUUCACCAGUAUCAUUUUCUAUCCCAUUGCCCAGUCCAAUCCCUGUGUGAAGAGUUGGCUUUGGGAAUGGUUCCUGUCUUGGGCUAACAGAAGGUCUGGGGACCAUGAGCACCGAGGUCCUUCUAGUCUCAGUCAGAUCAUUAAGUCUGGUCUUUUAACGAAAAUUUGGGGUCUGCAUCUCACUUCUCUCCUGCUCCCUUGGGGGUUCUCUUUUGUGUUCCCUGUCAGAGCAGUCAUCCACUGUAGCCGGCGCCAUCUAGUUCUUCUGGUCUCAGGCUAAUGUAGUCUUUGCCUUAUGUGGCCCUUUCUGCCUCUUGAGCUCAUAAUUACCUUGUGUCUUUGGUGUUCUUCAUUCUCCUUUGGUCUAGGUGGGUUGAUACCAAUUGACGAUUGUCGCUUGCUAGCAUUUAAGACCCCAGAUGCCACUCUCCAAAGUGGGAUGCAGAACGUCAUCUUAAUAGAUUUUAUUAUGCCAAUUGACUUAGACAUCCCCUGAAACCAUGGUCUCCAAACCCCCACCCCUGCUACACUGGCCUUCAAAGCGUUCAGUUGACUUCUUUGCUUUUGGUUUACUCCAGUUGUGCUGACCUCUCCUGUUUUGUGUGCUGUCUUUCCCUUCACCUAAAAUAGUUCUUAUCUACUAUCUAAUUAGUGAAAACCCCUCUCCCUCCUUACCUCCCUCUCCCCUCUCCUAACCAUCAAAGAAUAUUUUCUUCUCUGUUUAAACUAUUUCUUGAGUUCUUAUGAUAAUGGUCUCAUACAAUAUUUGUCCUUUUGCAACUGACUAAUUUCAGUCAGCAUAAAAUGCCUUCCAAAUUCCUCCACGUUAUGAAAUGUUUCAUGGAUUCAUCAUUGUUCUUCAUCAAUGCGUAGUAUUCCAUUGUGUGAAUACACCAUGAUUUAUUUAUCCAUUCAUCCAUUGAUGGGCACCUUGGUUGCUUCCAUCUUUUUGCUAUCGUAAACAGUGUUGCAAUGAACAUGGGAGUGCAUAUAUCCAUUCCUUAAAUUAUUACUAUUACGUGCCAUUGAGUCAGUUCUGACUCAUAGCAACCCUAUGUACAACAGAACAAAACACUGCCUGGCCCUACGCCAAUCCUCACUAUCGUUGUUAUCCUUGGGCUCAUUGUUGCUGCAACUGUGUUGAUCCAGCUCAUCGAGGGUCUUCCUCUUUUUCACUGAUGCUUUUCUUUGCCAAGCAUGAUGUCCUUCUCCAGGGACUGGUUCCUCCUGAUAACAUGUCCAAAGUACGUGAGAUGAAGUCUUGCCGUCCUUGCUUCUAAGGAGCAUUCUGGCUGUAUUUCUCCCAAGACAGAUUUGUUUGUUCUUCUGGUAGUCCAUGGUAUAUUCAAUAUUCUUGGUCAACGCUUUAAUUCAGAGGCAUCAAUUCUUCUCUGGGCUUCCUUAUUCAUUGUCCAGCUUUUGCACGCAUAUGAGGGAAUUAAAAGCACUAUAGCUUGGGUCAGGCACAUCUUAGUCUUCAAGUCCUUAAUGUACACCUCAAAAUAGGUGUACUUAAAAAAAAAAAAAACAGACAGGAAAACUGGAGGAAAGGACAUGGAGAACCCAGAGUGCAAAGGGAAAGGGGGGAAAGCACCAGCAUAUUGCAGGGAUUGCAACCAAUGCAGUUUGUCACAAAAUAAUUUCUGUAUAGAUUUUUGAAUGAAAAACUAAUUUGUACUGUAAACUUUUACCUAAAACACACACACACAAGAAAUUUUUAAAAAGAAAGAAAAAACACUUAACUUGCUUAGUAGUUUUGUUUUUGAUAAUUUACCGUUUGUUUCCAAGCAUCUGAUACCUUCCCUACUGUGGUAUUUAUCACUCUGUACUAAAGCUGCUUAUUGAACUGUUUGCCUCUUGCACUAGACCAUAGGUUCUGGGAAGGCUGGGACAGAACUGCCUGUGUACUCCUGGCCCCAGGCUGCGUAUCCCUUAGAAACUCAGAACAUACAGGUUGGAAUAAAUACAUGAAUAUUCGUGGCAAGUAUGCCUUUAGCUUCAACAUCCAAUGUUUUGAGAUCUUUAGGCUUUGGAAGAAUUUAAACCUCUUUUCAGAAAUUGUUCAUUCUCUAGGUUAUUAUUCAGGGAUGACAUAUUUUAAAUAAAAGUGUUUUCUUAUCUUUAUCUACUCUGAUCCUUGACUUCUUGGGCUAAAUUUGUUUGUGUCAACCGCAGGCGAUGUAAACGCAAUCAACGGUUGAGCAAGCGACUCUUGCUUUAUUUUCCUCUCUGAAGGGCCUGCCCUGGCCAGCUCAUGCUCUGUGUAAGCCAGAAUGCCCUGCCAGGUGGUUCAUAGGGCAAAGACAGAAGCAGCCAAACACACAGGCUUCAGGGACAGUGUGAACACAGCUGCGCUUCCUCUUCCUAUAAGGGAUACUAUUGUCAUCGCUAUGGUUUCCUCCCCCGCCCCCCGCCAUCUAUGCUUCCUAGUCCUGACGCCACUAAAGGCACGAUUAUGAAUAAGGGUAUGCUGUCUGAAUUGGGGUUCACUCUCUGAAAUUAAAGCUAGUAAGAAUCAACAGAAAACAAUGAGGGUAUUCAGCUGUAAAAAUGACUCACCCUUAGAAUGUUUUGCAAUGUAUUUCUAACAAAACUAGGGUUUCUGAAGUCUCAACGAUGAGAAAAUGGAAAAAAUACAACACACAUCAGGGCCUACCACCAGGAAGGGAAAGGCUGGGAAGACCACGUGGAUCAGGCCCCACAGCUGUGUUGUCGUGUGCCGUGGUGUUGAUGCCAGCUCAUAGCAACCCCGUCUGACAGAGUAGAACUGUCCCAUAGGGUUUCCUAGCCUGUAAUCUUUACAGAAGCAGGUCAUCAGGUCUUUUCUCCCACAGAGCCACUGUGGGGUUUGAACCGCCGACCUUUCGGUUGGUUAGCAGCUGAAUGCUUAGCCACUGCACCACCAAGCCUCCUUCCCACAGUUGUAGAGGUCCUCAAAUCUGUACUUUUUAUAUUAUCACCAAAUGAAGUUACACAUACAACCACAGAGAUAACUAACAGGAUGAAAAAACAAAAGAUGCCACUCACUGUUUGUCUUCGAAUUUCAAAUAUGUGUGCCAUUGCCAGACCACACUGUCCAAAAUGGAUUUUGAAUUAAUGCUUAAUAUUUUUAUAAAGACUCACCUUGUAAAUAGUAUAAUUGUGUUUAUUGCCUUUUUCCUGUUAAAAUUGUUGAUUUUGGAAAUGCACACAUGUACCGUAUGCCACAAUAGUCAUCAUGUAAUUUUUUUUUUUAAUAUAGUGAAAACCGUGUUCACUUCAGCAGCACAUAUACUGAUAAAGUGAAAACCUCAAAAAAACAAAAGUGGCCCAGGUCUCUUUUGAGCUCUAAAAAGUCCAGAAUAAGAUUAACUGAUCUAAUUUAUUAUAACCUUUCCUACUGCUUCAAUGAGCUCUGAUAAUGCUACCAUUAAGAACUUUUAUUAUUUUUCCCACAUACCCCAGUAUUGUCUACUAAAUUUUAUACAUUAAGUACUAGUACAUUUCUCCAUUUUAUUUUUUAAAAGUACACAUUUAAUUUUUAUAAUUUCUGUUGAUGUAGUUUUCAUUCACACUGAGCAACUACUAUGUGCCAGACAUUAUGUUAACUACUGGAGAUAGGAAGAUAAAUAAAACAAAAUUCACAGUCCAUUGAGGGGAACUAGACAUAUAACAGGUUUAGAAAUAUAAAUAGGUAAUUAACAAAAUAAAACUAUGUCAGAGGCACUAAGAGAGUGUUAGGGAAGUGAUGAGGAUAAGCCCCUAUUACGGAUUCAAUUGUGUCCCCCAAAAAUGUGUGUCAACUUGGCUAGGCCAUGAGCCCCAGUAUCGUGUGGUUGUCCUCCAUUUCGUGACCUGAUAUAAUUAUCCUAUGUGUUGUAAAUGUUAACAAGGCACGGUUAGAGGCAGUUAUGUUAAUGGGGCAGGACACAAACUAUAAGAUUAGGUUGUAUCUUGAGUCCAUCUCUUUUGGGAUAUAAAAGAGAGAAGUGAGCAGAGAGAGGAGGGACCUCCUACCACCAAGAAAAAACAGCCAGGAGCAGAGUGCCUCCUUUGGACCCAAGGUCCCUCACUAAGAAACUCCUAGACCCAGGGGAAGAUUGAUGACAAGGACUUUCCCCCAGAGCCAGCAGAAAGAGAAAGACUUCCUCUGGAGCUAGCACCCUGAAUUUGGACUUCUAGCCUCCUAGACUGUGAUAGAAUCAAUUUCUGUUUGUUAAAGACAUCCACUUGUGUUAUUUCUGCUAUAGCAGCACUAUAUAACUAAGACAGAAUCUGGUACCAGGAGUGGGGUGCUGCUCUCACAGAUACCUAAAACGUGGAAGCAGUUUUGAAACUGUGAAUGGGUAGAGGUUGGAAGAGUUUUAAGGUGUCUAAUUAAUAGUAAAAGCUUAGAUUACCUUGAAGAGACUGUUGGUGGAAUUACGGACAUCAAAGGCAACUCUGGCAAGAGUUCAGAAGGAAGUGAGGAGAGCUAUAACACCGGAGAUGGCACACACAGGGAGAAGCAGCAGCAAAGAAAUGGCAGCAGCAGAACCAGAAGACCAGGUCUAGACAGCUCAGGAGCCAACCCAUGGAGUGAGAGAGAUGAGGGCCUUCAGGCAGGAGGCUUCUUAGUGGAGUGGGGUGCCCCCGGACACUUGCUGGUGGAGCUAUGCUUGGCAACCCAUGGAGUGAGAGAGACGAGUGCCUUUGGUCUGAGGCUGGUGGAGUCAGGUGCUUCUGGUCACUCAUUGCCCAAGCAGUGCAGAGGCCAGGCGGAGGGGCUGAGGGGCCAAGAGGCCAAGGAACCAGGACGCAGAAGCAGAGCUGCCUCAGUCUCAAAGGGUAGGGCCAUGACCUCUGGGGGUCUCAAAGGGUUGAAUGAUGGCCUGCUGGGUCUCAAAGGGUGGGGCCACGGCCUUCUAGGUUUCAAAGAGUCAGAUAUUCAGUUCUGGAAUGUGGGGCUGCCAUUCACAAAUGCCAGGGGGGAUGGGACUGGAUCUGCCACCCAAAGCUUCUAGCCUCCUAGACUGUGAGACAAUAAAUCUGUUUGUUAAAGCCAUCAACUCGUAGUGUUUCUGUUAUAGCAGCACUAGAUAACGAAGAAAGCCUCUAAUACAGUUGAGGGGAGUAAUCAGAGAAAACUUCCUGUUGCGUUGACCCUCAAGUGAGUCUUAAAAAGAUGAGUAGACAUUAGCCAAAAAUUACAUUAGUAAGCUUACGUAAGUGUUUAUCUCAGAGAAAUGUCUGAUUUCCAUUAGAUUUUAAAAUUUGUAUUAAAAUAAUUGGAAGCUCCUCUUUUCUUUCCCUGGGGAUCUCAGGAAGGAAGCCAUUGUUUUAACAGGGGAGAUAAUGCUACGUAGGAGUACAUUUUAGAAAAAGGAAUGCUGCAAAGGAAUAGUUUAUCCAUAUUUAUACAAAAGGAUGCUCUGCCCAGCCAUGAUUUUUGGGCUGCUUGAAAAAAAAAUUUUUUUUUUUGGCAGGUAGAAUCCUGUACAGGUAGAACAUCUGAGGGUACAUCAAAUACCAGAGCCUUAAAACCACCCAUUCUUUCUUUUUUUUUCUUUCUUUCUUUCUUUUUAAACUCUGGGGUCAACAAAUAGCCUAUUGAUGUUGCUUUUGUUUCCCGAGUAGGCUUUCCUACUGUUAAAAGUAUGACCUGACAUGUAAAAUCUAUUAUUCCAGUUAAUUUUGCAGUUUCAAUUACCCACUAAAUAAAUAAAUAGGCCUGCUCUUUUUUAUCAGUGUUUUCUAAUUACUACGAAUCAGUCCCCAGACCCAGAUCAUCCUGCUGUGAAUUGGCAAAAUUGAGUCCGAAUACUUUCAAACUGGGGAACACGGUGUAGAUCUGGACUGAAAUCUGUCUUCUUUGCUUUGCUCUUACCUGCAAGGUCUCUGCUUCUUAAGUCUGAGCUUUCUUCUCUUAGUCCGAUCCAACGCAUAUACUGUCUGUCUUAAUCUUCUAGUGCUGGUGUAACAGGUGAGUGACUUCAACAGACAGAAAUCUAUUUUCUCACAGUUUUGGAUGCUUGAAGUACAAAUUCAGAGUGCCCACUCUAGGAGAAGGCUUUCUCUCUCUGUCACUUGGGGGAGGUCCUUGUCUCUGUCAGCUUCUGUCCCUCAGUUCCUUGGCAAUCUUCAUGUGGUAUGGCAUCUAUCUUCCCCAUCUCUAUUUGCUUCUCUAUGCCCAAUCUGCUCCUUUUAUAUCUCAAAGGUGAUUGGCUUAUGACACACCCUACUGUGAUAUGGCCUCAUUAACAUUACAAAAGCCCUAUUCCCAAAUGAGAUUAAAUCCAUGAGUAUAAGGGUAAGGAUUUACAAUACAUACUUGUGUUGGGGCGGCGGCGGGGGGGGGCGGGGAACCAAACCCAUUGCCAUAAAGUCUACUCCAACUCAUAGCGACCCUAUAGGACAGGGUAGAACUGCCCCAUAGAGUUUCCAAGGAGUGCCUGGUGGAUUCAAACUGCCGACAUUUUGGUUAGCAGCUGUAGCACUUAACGGCUAUGCCACGAGGGUUUCUGGGGAGAGGCAGGGGAAGGAGGACAUAAUUCAAUCUAUAACACUGUCCAUAUUCUGAGGACUUCCAAAUUUAUAUUUCCAGCCUGGAACUCUCCUUCUAACUCCAGACUCGUACAUCAAAGAACGGUAUCUCAAAUUUAACAUGUGCAAAAAUACAUUAUUGAUCUCCUCUAAAACUGGCCCUCAUCCCCACCCCUCUCUUCCCCAUCUCAGCAACUGGAAACUCCAUCCUAUUGGCUGUCCAUGGCCCAAAUCUUAGAACCAUCCUUGACCCCAGUCUUUCGCUUUCACCCCAAAUCUUAUCCUGGCAGCUUUGCCUUUAAAAUAUGUAUAGUAAAGUAAUGCAAAUAAGUAAGAUUGUCAGUAUAAGAGAUGCAAGUAUGAAAUCAAAGAAGUAAAUGUCAUAUAAUGUUAAAUUUGAAUUAGGUUAUCAAUAUGUUUAUGAUUUCUCUUUUCAAAAAGCUGUAUUUCUUGGCUUUAUCUUCUGAAAAGGCUCAGAAGCUAACUAGUGUCCAGACUGUGGUUCCUAAAUCUUCUUCUCCACCAAAAAGGAACCAGGGCUCUUCAGAGGCAUGGCUGGAAGUAUAGGGUGAGCCUGCAACACCUUGUUGUACCAAAGAGCAAGAAAGCUACUGAAGAAAUGUCAAAAGGACACAGAAGCCAACAUGAAAGCGUUCCCAAUUAGCCAAAAAAUGAGACUGUUUAAGCAUCAAAAAGAAUAAUGACUACAAUUGGUUAAAACACAUUGGCUAUCCAGUAACAUUCUUUACAAAAUGGAAAAGCUAAUCACCAACUUUAUAUGGAAAGAAAGAGGCCCCAGAUAAGUAAAGCAAUGUUGAAAAAGAAGAACAAAGUAGGAGGCCUCUCACUCCCUGGUCUCAAAACCUCUAUACAGCCACGGUAGUCAAAACAACCUGGUACUAGUACAACGAUAGACACACAGACCAAUGGAAUAGAAUUGGGAAUCCAGAAAUCCAUCCACCUAUGGACAAUUAAUCUUUGACAAAGGGUCAAAAUUCAUUCAUUAAAUGGGGAAGAGAUAGUCUCUUUAACAAAUGGUACUGGCAAAACUGGGUAUCCAUUUGCAAAAAGAAAAUGAAACAACAUCCAUACCUCACACCACACACAAAAACUAACUCAAGGUAGAUCAAAGGCCUAAGUGUAAAACCUUAAACCAUAAAGAUCAUAGAAGACAGAAUAGGGGCAUAAAUAGACUAUCAAACAUAACUUAAAAAGCACAAACAGCAGAAGACAAACCAGAUGAAUGGGGCUUCCUGAAAAUCAAAUACUUGUUGUCAUCAAGAGAUUUUCCAAAACAGUAAAAAGAGAACCUAGAGACUGGGAGAAAAAAUUUUGGCUACAACAUAUCUGACAAGGACCUAAUCUCUAAAGUUUAUAGAAACUCGAACAACUCAAUAAAAGACAAACAAUCCAAUUAAAAAAUGGGCAAAGGACAUUAAAAAAAAAAAAAAGUUUUUUUUUUUUUUUUU